GACGAACGCUGGCGGCGUGCUUAACACAUGCAAGUCGAACGGUGAUGCUCCAGCUUGCUGGAGUGGAUCAGUGGCGAACGGGUGAGUAACACGUGAGCAACCUGCCCCAGACUCUGGAAUAAGCGCUGGAAACGGCGUCUAAUACUGGAUACGAAACUGGCCCGCAUGGGCAUGGUUUGGAAAGUUUUGCGGUUUGGGAUGGGCUCGCGGCCUAUCAGCUUGUUGGUGAGGUAAUGGCUCACCAAGGCGACGACGGGUAGCCGGCCUGAGAGGGCGACCGGCCACACUGGGACUGAGACACGGCCCAGACUCCUACGGGAGGCAGCAGUGGGGAAUAUUGCACAAUGGGCGAAAGCCUGAUGCAGCGACGCCGCGUGAGGGAUGACGGCCUUCGGGUUGUAAACCUCUUUCAGCAGGGAAGAAGCGAAAGUGACGGUACCUGCAGAAGAAGCACCGGCUAACUACGUG
rnacentral:rRNA from 1 species